rnacentral:rRNA from 1 species
UACGGAAGGGGCAAGCGUUGUUCGGAAUCAUUGGGCGUAAAGGGCGCGUAGGCGGCCUGCUAUGUCGAACGUGAAAUCCCCGGGCUCAACCCGGGAACUGCGUCCGAAACUGGCAGGCUUGAAUCCGGGAGAGGGAUGUGGAAUUCCAGGUGUAGCGGUGAAAUGCGUAGAUAUCUGGAGGAACACCGGUGGCGAAGGCGGCAUCCUGGACCGGUAUUGACGCUGAGGCGCGAAAGCCAGGGGAGCAAACGGG